rnacentral:lncRNA from 1 species
AAAGCUUAGCUACCAUUUGGUUUGGGGUUAAGAAAAAAUUAGUUAUUUCAAGAAUAGGGUUAAGUUUAGGGUUAAGGUGGGAUUAAAGUAUUUUUGUGUUUGGUUGGAGAUUGGAGUUAGUUCAGGAUAGUAAAAAAUAGUAUUUGGUUGGAGUAGGUGGGAUAAGAAGGAUAGUGGGUUAUUAGAAAAUAGUGUUUGGUUGGGGUUUGGUGGGGUUAGGUGGAGUUAGCUAAUCCGGGAUAACUCAUUUGAGGUGGGGUUAGCUAACCCCAACUAUUUUUUGGGAUGUUUGGGAAUAAAAUGGGGGUUAAGGGGGUUAUUCCACCCCUUAACCCCCAACCAAACGAAGGCUUAAAGUUUAAAGAUGAACAAAUUCUUGCAAAUUAUAUAUAAACUUAUAAAGUUUUUGAAAAUGUGGUCUUCUUAUUUCUUUUCUAUAUAUGGGACCAAUAUUUUUAACACUAACACCUAUCGCAUUAACCGACAGUCUUUAGAGCAAGUGGCAAAGGGCUUGGUGGUUGGUACCCAAGACCUAAGUUCGAAUUCUAGUUGAUUCACAUUUCCAGUUAAACUUAUUUCUAAAUAAAAUAAAUAAAGCGGAUAGCGUGCUAUCUAUUUCUCUAAAAAAAAAAAAAAAACACCUGGCCCAUUUAAUUAGAUCACAAGCUUACUAAAUGAUCUGUGUUUUGCCCCGUGGGAGACAAGUUGGGUUUGGAUAGGUAUUGAGAUUGUGGGGCUUGCAUGUUGGAUAAUAAUUUAUUUUUUAUUCAUAUUCUCGGCUGUCACACUUGGCACUUUUUGGACCAAUCAUGCUUUACUAGCAUAGUAAUCCGUGCAAUACGAUGGAUAGAUAAUUAGAGGAAGUACAUAGAAAAUAUCGACAAAUAAAAAAAAAGCAAUAAAAAAUGCGACAAUGAGGAGCAUGAUUCAUCUUGCCGAUGAACAAAAACAACAGCCGAAUGAAGAGGAAAAGGAAGAGAAAGGAUUUGAGCUGGUUCGGGGUGAAAACAACAUUCAACUAUGAAGAAAAAGUUGUCAUGUGGUAACUUUAGGAGAAAUAAUGUACAAGUAUAGAUUCUUUCUAAUAAAAAAUACUACAUGUACAUUUUAU